rnacentral:rRNA from 1 species
UACGGGGGGGGCAAGCGUUGUUCGGAAUUACUGGGCGUAAAGGGCUCGUAGGUGGCCAACUAAGUCGGACGUGAAAUCCCUCGGCUUAACCGGGGAACUGCGUCCGAUACUGGUUGGCUUGAGUUUGGGAGAGGGAUGCGGAAUUCCAGGUGUAGCGGUGAAAUGCGUAGAUAUCGGGAGGAACACCAGUGGCGAAGGCGACUACCUGGCCUGUUUCUUGACGCUGAGGCGCGAAAGCUAGGGGAGCAAACGGG